rnacentral:rRNA from 1 species
CGGGUGAGUAAUGCGUGACCAACCUGCCCCAUGCUCCAGAAUAGCUCUUGGAAACGGGUGGUAAUGCUGGAUGCUCCAACUUGACGCAUGUCUUGUUGGGAAAGUGUUUAGUGGCAUAGGAUGGGGUCGCGUCCUAUCAGCUUGUAGGCGGGGUAAUGGCCCACCUAGGCUUCGACGGGUAGCCGGCCUGAGAGGGCGGACGGCCACAUUGGGACUGAGAUACGGCCCAGACUCCUACGGGAGGCAGCAGUC